AUUGCUUCCCUGUUGAAGUGAAGAUAUAAAUGUUCCAUUCUGACCCACCUUUGAAAAACAAUUACUUUGCCCCAUGGAUUCUUUGUUCAAUUAGAAAUUUCCCCGGGGCAGGUGACCCAUAGUCUUAAAGAACAGGCUAAACACCACAGAGAGAUUGGUUGCUUUUUGCUUUUCAUCACCUGCAAGAUGUACAUAAAAAUCACAUAAGCUGGAAUUCAACAAAAGACCUCUGACUAUGUGAAGAUACGGUGGGAAGAUGACUGACCGCAAGACAGGAAGAGAGCCCUCACCGAGGAACCAAAUUGGCCAGUAUCUUGAUUUUGGAUUUCUCAACCUCAAGAACCAUGAGAAAUGAAUGUCUGCUGUUCAAGCCACCCAGUCAAUGUCCAUGAGAGCAAGCAUCUUUGUCCGUUUGGCUCACUGUUGGAUUCCCUGUUUUAAAAAUAUCACCCGGCCCAGCAAAAAGUUUGGAAACCUUCAUCUAGAAAGUGGUCUAGCAAAGUGUGGUCCAUGGAUGAGUUUGAUCUGCAAACUGCUUGUUAUUGGUUCAUGACAAGGUCUACCAAUUGCAUUUUGAGAGCUCAGAUAAGCAGAGAGCAAUGCAAUUUGUCACAGAAGGAUGAUUAUGUAUAUGCACUGUCAUGUCUAUUUCCAUGCCUAACUCAAAGGAGACACAAGGAGAAAGUGAGCUCAGCCUGGAUAAAUUGGAGAUUGUGAUGACUUCUAGGAAGCCUCAGGAAAGAGAAACAAAGACAACACUGGCCUGCUGCUCUCUGCAAUGGUGGGACCCUUGUGGGAUAACUGUUUUAGGAAUGAAGGUGUCUACCCUCUCUAGAAAUGAAAAUGCAAGUUUGGCUGUGGUUAAGUAUUGGAUGGAGGCAAAAAGAAACUGACAUAUUUUCUUCUUUUCAAUUGUUUGAUUCACCCUGAAGGGCAUGGCUGCUUAAUUUUUUUCUCCAGAGAUAGGUGGACAGAUAAAGACAGGAAAGUAACAUCCACAGACUGCCCUCUGUGAAGGUGACAGUGAUGAAAGGAAUGCUUGAUCUGAACACUGGUAAAUAAAGUGACCGCAUAUUUCCCUAGCCAGGAGAGCAAUCUGGCUCAAAAGAAACGAGAACAAUGACAUUACUGCCAGGCUGCUCCUAAGCCUUUGGCUAUUCUGUUCAGUGCACAAAAAAAAGCAGUGAACAUAGCUGUGACCUGCCUUGUUGGUAGUAUCACAAUUCUUUGGGGCUCCACUUUAAGAAAUUGAGACCUACCUACCUUAAUCCUUGGGGGGUUAAGCUUUCAGACUGGAAUGAUAACUGAACUAUUCAUUUGCAGUAAUUCUGGGUUUUGUGCAUAUUUUAAAAAGGAAUACCGGGCUUGCCUAUAUUCAUUACAACGUCCUCCCAGCUUUCAAAUCUUCCAAUACAAUGCCUCUUCUCUAGUCUUUUAAGCACAUCCUGUGACUGGAUAUGAUUAUGGGAGAUUUACAUGCAUCCUUGUCUAUUGUAUCAAAAGAUCAGGGAAUAAAAUGCCCAUCAUUAAAACCCCAAAGUGAUUGGAUUGGCAUGAGGAAUGGGGAUGGGGCUGGCAUGGAAGAGAGGGUUCUGACUCUGAGAUUUCAUGAAAUGCAAAACAAUAGGACAGCUGCUCUUCCAUAAACAGAUUAUUAUUAUUAUUUCUACCUAGACAGCUUGAUAGCAGCCAUUAUCUUCUUUCUGGGUGUCUUAUCAAGUUCCGGCUGUGUGCAGCAUGGGUGAUAAGGAAAGAGAAAUGUCACCCAUGGGAUUGCCAAGGAUUAUUUCUAUGCACUGCUGUUCAGCAACAGCCAAUCUCUCAGAACUGAGAAGAAGUCCUAUUGUUCACGCUGGGCAGUUGCUAUUCUGACUAUCCCAAGAGAGCAGAAAAGGGAUGUAGUUGCCAUUGUGCAAAAGAUUGAUAUUUCAUUACUCUCAGCUAAAGUUCUGAAAAGCAGAAUCAUCAUGAAAUAUCUUUGAAGAGAGAAAAGACAAGGGAAGAAAAGAAGAACGAAAUGAGUUCAGAGCUUUUUAGAACUGUGAGGGAGUGCGAAAAAAGAAAGGUGUAAUACUUUCAAACAGUGGAAGUUAAAAUGCCAGGCGUGUAAGCCUCAGUGAAAUUGAGCAGCAUCACGUCACCACGACUUGUGGUCCAGCUGUUUAUUGCAAAGACUCCAUCCUGCGUUACUCAUCAGAAAAUAGUUAACUUUGUAUCUGGCAUUAUUUUAAUUAAAAAAAAAGUUAACUUACUAGAUUUCUGUUUGUCUGUGUUUCAUACAAGGUUCUUGAAUGAAAAUAAUCUGUUGAUAUUUAACAUUUUUCCUUUCCUUCUCAAUGAGAAAAUAAAUGUUUUAUUAUACAUGCAAAAAAAAAAAAAAAAAA
rnacentral:lncRNA from 1 species